rnacentral:rRNA from 1 species
GAUGAACGCUGGCGGCGUGCCUAAUACAUGCAAGUCGAGCGAACAGACGAGGAGCUUGCUCCUCUGAUGUUAGCGGCGGACGGGUGAGUAACACGUGGAUAACCUACCUAUAAGACUGGGAUAACUUCGGGAAACCGGAGCUAAUACCGGAUAACAUGUUGAACCGCAUGGUUCAACAGUGAAAGACGGUUUUGCUGUCACUUAUAGAUGGAUCCGCGCCGCAUUAGCUAGUUGGUAAGGUAACGGCUUACCAAGGCAACGAUGCGUAGCCGACCUGAGAGGGUGAUCGGCCACACUGGAACUGAGACACGGUCCAGACUCCUACGGGAGGCAGCAGUAGGGAAUCUUCCGCGAUGGGCGAAAGCCUGACGGAGCAACGCCGCGUGAGUGAAGAAGGUCUUCGGAUCGUAAAACUCUGUUAUUAGGGAAGAACAAAUGUGUAAGUAACUAUGCACGUCUUGACGGUACCUAAUCAGAAAGCCACGGCUAACUACGUG